AAGGAUUCAUCUUCAUGUUGAGCUUUUAUGCUAUAUUAUCCUGUUACUGGAUUCUUAGCUCCAUGAUUCUGUGCAUCUGCAUUUUAAGUCCCUUUCUAACUUGCUGACCUGAAACUGAUUCGAAUUCCAGAAUAGUAAAUCCACUAGCUAUGGGAUGUGUAGGCUUGUUGUUUGUCUUUCUUAUCAAGAAAACUCUAGUACUCUAAUAAGCUAGCUAACCCGUUGAUAUCAUUAAAUAGUUCGCUUUCCGGUGCAUGUCACUAUUUUCUUUUAUCAUUGACUUUUCC
rnacentral:lncRNA from 1 species